UGGCGGAGGCGGCGUGCUAUACAUGCAGUCGAGCGACUUGCGGGAGCUUGCUCCCAAAAGUUAGCGGCGGACGGGUGAGUAACACGUGGGCAACCUGCCUGUAAGACUGGGAUAACUUCGGGAAACCGGAGCUAAUACCGGAUAACCCUUUUCCUCACAUGUGGAAAAGUUGAAAGAUGGCUUCGGCUAUCACUUACAGAUGGGCCCGCGGCGCAUUAGCUAGUUGGUGAGGUAACGGCUCACCAAGGCGACGAUGCGUAGCCGACCUGAGAGGGUGAUCGGCCACACUGGGACUGAGACACGGCCCAGACUCCUACGGGAGGCAGCAGUAGGGAAUCUUCCGCAAUGGACGAAAGUCUGACGGAGCAACGCCGCGUGAGUGAUGAAGGUUUUCGGAUCGUAAAACUCUGUUGUUAGGGAAGAACAAGUACCGUUCGAAUAGGGCGGUACCUUGACGGUACCUAACCAGAAAGCCACGGCUAACUACGUGCCAGCAGCCGCGGUAAUACGUAGGUGGCAAGCGUUGUCCGGAAUUAUUGGGCGUAAAGCGCGCGCAGGCGGUCUUUUAAGUCUGAUGUGAAAGCCCCCGGCUCAACCGGGGAGGGUCAUUGGAAACUGGGAGACUUGAGUGCAGAAGAGGAGAGUGGAAUUCCACGUGUAGCGGUGAAAUGCGUAGAGAUGUGGAGGAACACCAGUGGCGAAGGCGACUCUCUGGUCUGUAACUGACGCUGAGGCGCGAAAGCGUGGGGAGCGAACAGGAUUAGAUACCCUGGUAGUCCACGCCGUAAACGAUGAGUGCUAAGUGUUAGAGGGUUUCCGCCCUUUAGUGCUGCAGCAAACGCAUUAAGCACUCCGCCUGGGGGAGUACGGCCCGCAAGGCUGAAACUCAAAGGAAUUGACGGGGGCCCCGCACAAGCGGUGGAAGCAUGUGG
rnacentral:rRNA from 1 species